rnacentral:rRNA from 1 species
CACGAAUUAAGGCGAGCUAAUUUAUUGUAAGUAUUAGCUUAGGAAAUGUUGCAUAAUUACACUAAACAGUAAAUUAGGAGUGAUAGGCUUAUCAAGUCUUAAUAUAACUUGAUGUUUAUGAAAUGUAUUUAGUACAAACACACUUAAGGAGUGCUUAGAUUCCUUAUAUAUAUUAAAAGUAUAUAAUCAAAAUUAAUUAUGUUAUAACUAAUAGAUACCAUAGUUUUAAAACAUUCAUUUUUAUAAUUUGUAUUAUAUAAUAAACUAUUAAGAAUUGCCCAUAAAAUAUAUAUUGUUAUUAUAAGUAUAUAAUGAAAAUAUUUACAAUGAACUCGGCAAUAUUCUCUUCAACUGUUUAUCAAAAACAUAGCUAAUAGAUAAAAUUAUUAGUGUUUUCUGCUCCAUGAGUAUUAAAUAGCCGCAGUACCCUGACUGUGCUAAGGUAGCAUAAUCAAUUGGCUUGUAAUUUAAGUCUUGUAUGAAUGAAGAAAUGUAAGAGAAACUAUAUAUAGGAUAGAUGUUGAAAUUAUUGAGUAAGUGAAAAUACUUACUGAAAAACAUAAGACGAGAAGACCCUAGAAAUUUUAAGAAUCUGUGAUUGGGGCUUUUUGUUGGGGCAACAGUGUAACAUGUAACUUACAGUUUAGUACAAGCAAUAUUUUGUUAGAUUAAAUUACUCUAGGGAUAACAGCGUAAUGUUGAAACGUUUGCGACCUCGAUGUUGGAUUAGGAAAUAUAAGCUUAGAA